rnacentral:rRNA from 1 species
GAACCUGGCUCAGGAUGAACGCUAGCUACAGGCUUAACACAUGCAAGUCGAGGGGCGAGCAUGGUCUUAGCUUGCUAAGGCCGAUGGCGACCGGCGCACGGGUGAGUAACACGUAUCCAACCUGCCGUCUACUCUUGGACAGCCUUACUGAAAGGAAGAUUAAUACAAGAUGGCAUCAUGAGUCCGCAUGUUCACAUGAUUAAAGGGUAUUCCGGUAGACGAUGGGG